rnacentral:rRNA from 1 species
GAUGAACGCUGGCGGCGUGCCUAAUACAUGCAAGUCGAACGAACAGACGAGGAGCUUGCUCCGCUGACGUUCGCGGCGCGCGGGUGUGUAACACGUGUAUAACCUACCUAUAAGACUGGUAUAACUUCGGGAAACCGGAGCUAAUACCGGAUAAUAUAUUGAACCGCAUGGUUCAAUAGAGAAAGACGGUUUUGCUGUCACUUAUAGAUGGAUCCGCGCCGCAUUAGCUAGUUGGUAAGGUAACGGCUUACCAAGGCAACGAUGCGUAGCCGAACUGAGAGGGUGAUAGGCCACACUGGAACUGGGCCACGGUCAAGACUCCUGAGGGAGGCAGCAGUAGGGAAUCUUCCGCAAUGGGCGAAAGCCUGACGGAGCAACGCCGCGUGAGUGACGAAGGUCUUCGGAUCGUAAAACUCUGUUAUUAGGGAAGAACAAAUGUGGAAGUAAAUAUGCACGUCUUGACGGUACCUAAUCAGAAAGCCCCGGCUAACUACGUG